rnacentral:piRNA from 2 species
UCAAGGAUUUAGAGCCCAACCAUCAUACUU